UCAGACGAUGCGUCAUGCAUAUCAAUAAGCGGAGGAAAAGAAACUAACAAGGAUUCCCUUAGUAACGGCGAGUGAAGCGGGAAGAGCUCAAAUUUGAAAUUUUCAAGGUUUUACCUUGACGAAUUGUAGUUUAAAGAAGUGUUUUCUGCUGAAGUUUUGGUAAAAGUUCUUUGGAAUAGGACAUCAUAGAGGGUGAGAAUCCCGUAUUUGACCAUUAUUUUCAGCUUUGUGAUACACUUUCAAAGAGUCGGAUUGUUUGGGAAUGCAGUCCAAAAUGGGUGGUAAAUUUCAUCUAAAGCUAAAUAUCGGCGAGAGACCGAUAGCGAACAAGUACCGUGAGGGAAAGAUGAAAAGAACUUUGAAAAGAGAGUUAAACAGUACGUGAAAUUGUCAAAAGGGAAGCGUUUGACACCAGUGUUGUUUUCUCGAAAAUCAAUUAAAAAUGGCUCGAUUUUGUAUUGCUGAGACCUUAAAAGCUCACUGUACAUUUUUCGUGUCUUUUUUAAUGCACUUUUCGUUUAACAAGUCAACAUCAGUUUCUUUUGUCGUAAAAGGGUCAUUGGAAGGUGGCUUUCUUUUCGGAGAAAGUGUUUAUAGCCUUUGGCCUCUGCAAUCGGAGAGACUGAGGUCUGCAGCGUAGACUCUUCGGGGUUAGAUACAUUUGUGCUAAGUUAUAGCUUUUUAUAGACAACUUGUUGACUAUAAUUAGUCUUGUAGCUUACUCGCUUAUGCUAUUUUACCUACGCUUAGGAUGUUGACGAUCAGCUGAGCGCG
rnacentral:rRNA from 1 species